AUUGAACGCUGGCGGCAGGCCUAACACAUGCAAGUCGAACGAGUGGCGGACGGGUGAGUAAUGUCUCGGAAAGUGCCCGAUGGCGGGGGAUAACUACUGGAAACAGUCGCUAAUACCGCAUACCCUCGGAUGUGCCCAGAUGGGAUUAGCUAGUAGGUGGGUUAACGGCUCACCAAGUCGACGAUCCGUAGCUGGUUUGAGAGGAUGACCAGCCACACUGGAACUGAGACACGGUCCAGACUCCUACGGGAGGCAGCAGUGGGGAAUAUUGCACAAUGGGCGAAACCCUGAUGCAGCCAUGCCGCGUGUAUGAAGAAGGCCUUCGGGUUGUAAAGUACUUUCAGCGGGGAGGCGUUACUCGCAGAAGAAGCACCGGCUAACUCCGUGCCAGCAGCCGCGGUAAUUC
rnacentral:rRNA from 1 species